rnacentral:rRNA from 1 species
ACGGGUGAGUAACACGUAAAGAACCUGCCUCAUAGACUGGGACAACUAUUGGAAACGAUAGCUAAUACCGGAUAACAGCAUUAACUGCAUGGUUGAUGUUUAAAAGUUGGUUUUGCUAACACUAUGAGAUGGCUUUGCGGUGCAUCAGCUAGUUGGAGGGGUAACGGCCCACCAAGGCGAUGAUCAGUAGCCGGUCUGAGAGGAUGAACGGCCACAUUGGGACUGAGACACGGCCCAGACUCCUACGGGAGGCAGCAGUGGGGAAUAUUGGACAAUGGACCAAGAGUCUGAUCCAGCAAUUCUGUGUGCACGAUGAAGUUUUUCGGAAUGUAAAGUGCUUUCAGUUGGGAAGAAAAAAAUGACGGUACCAACAGAAGAAGUGACGGCUAAAUACGUGCCAGCAGCCGCGGUAAUACGUAGGUCCCGAGCGUUGUCCGGAUUUAUUGGGCGUAAAGCGAGCGCAGGCGGUUAGAUAAGUCUGAAGUUAAAGGCUGUGGCUUAACCAUAGUACGCUUUGGAAACUGUUUAACUUGAGUGCAAGAGGGGAGAGUGGAAUUCCAUGUGUAGCGGUGAAAUGCGUAGAUAUAUGGAGGAACACCGGUGGCGAAAGCGGCUCUCUGGCUUGUAACUGACGCUGAGGCUCGAAAGCGUGGGGAGCAAACAGGAUUAGAUACCCU